rnacentral:tRNA from 1 species
GCUCCCGUAGCUCAGGGGAUAGAGCGACGGUUUCCUAAACCGUAGGUCACAGGUUCGAAUCCUGCCGGGAGUA